AUUGAACGCUGGCGGCAUGCUUUACACAUGCAAGUCGGACGAGUGGCGAACGGGUGAGUAACGCAUCGGAACGUACCGAGUGAUGGGGGAUAACUGUCCGACAGGACAGCUAAUACCGCCUAUUAUUCGCGCGGCCGAUGUCUGAUUAGCUGGUUGGCGGGGGAAAGGCCCACCAAGGCGACGAUCAGUAGCGGGUCUGAGAGGAUGCUCGGCCACACUGGGACGGAGACACGGCCCAGACUCCUACGGGAGGCAGCAGUGGGGAAUUUUGGACAAUGGGCGCAAGCCUGAGCCAGCCAUGCCGCGUGUCUGAAGAAGGCCUUCGGGUUGUAAAGGACUUUUGGCAGGGAAGCGGUACCUGAAGAAUAAGCACCGGCUAACUACGUGCCAGCCGCCGCGGUAAUUC
rnacentral:rRNA from 1 species